rnacentral:lncRNA from 1 species
AAAAAUAAAUUUAAGAAUUAAAUUCCAAUUAAAUUCCAAUUAAAUCAACAAUAAUAAUAAAAUUAAAUUAAAUUUUAUAACAAAAAAAUUAUAUUUUUAACACUUUAAUUAUUCUUGUAAAAAACCAGAAAAGAAAAAGAAAUAAUAAUUACAACAAUUAAAGCAGGUUAAAUUACUCUUUCCUAAACCCUAAACUUUCCUUUCAUUUAAUUUUUUUUCCUUAUUUUUCUUUUUCCUUCCCUCUCUCUUCUUUCAUUUUUUCUUUCUUUCUUUCCUUUCCCGCCGCCCUUUUCUUCUUCUUCUUCUUCCAUGGCAGCAGCACCGGUGCCGCCUAUGGGGUACCCUCAACCGGUGCCGCCUAUGGGGUACCCUCAACCUAUAUAUAUAUUUUUUGACCUAUAGUUUUUUUUACCUGCAAAAUGUUAGAAAAUGGCAGAAAUUUGAGAGUGG